AGUCAUACGGUUCAACUCUUCCAAAAAUGUAAUACUUUUCUAAAACUGUUUUAACCAUAAGUCGGUAGUGUAAAGACAUUACGUUACUAACAUGUGCGACUCAAGAUAUAAAAUUUACUUUAAUCUGACUAUCAUUUCCAUUGUAUUUGCUGUUGUACUAUUGGUUAUCGGUGUAUUGCUGUUUCGCUCCAAUCGAAUAGUAAAAGAGACAUACGAACAAAAUUCUUGUGAAGUGAUAGCGACCAGCUAUUAUGACUCAACAUGUGGUGGUGGUGGACGCUUCUUCGGGACAUAUUCGUGUUUUGUACCUGUUUGGAUGGUAAACUACAGUAUCGUUGAGGGAAUACUCAUAAACGCAACAAUCGAAAGCGAAGGGGUGAAGACCACUGAAGACACACAAAGUAGGCUUGAUGAAUACCAAAUCGGAAUGUCUUACACUUGUUGGUGCAGUGUCGUUGACCCAUCUCAGGCUACAUGGAAGGAACCCAACACUUUUGCUGGCAUGAUGCUCGUGAUUUUUGGUAGCAUAGCAGCAGCUCUGGGACUUGUUGGAAUAUAUUUCACUUAUGGUGAAUGUAAAAAAAUGGAUUUUAGUAAAACUACCUCACAAUAUGAUUGACACAAUAAGAGAUUUGAAGAUUCUUAAAAAAG